UACGAAGGGUGCUAGCGUUGUUCGGAAUCACUGGGCGUAAAGCGUGCGUAGGCGGCUUUACAAGUCAGAGGUGAAAUGCCAAGGCUUAACCUUGGAACUGCCUUUGAAACUGUAAAGCUGGAGUGUCGGAGGGGAUAGCGGAAUUUCUAAUGUAGCGGUGAAAUGCGUAGAUAUUAGAAGGAACACCGGUGGCGAAGGCGGCUAUCUGGACGACAACUGACGCUGAGGCACGAAAGCGUGGGGAUCAAACAGG
rnacentral:rRNA from 1 species